GACGUCCUCUUAGUCUGGCAUGAACGUCAGUCACAAGACAGGGACAACACAACAGCAACUUCACUGCUGGUGACUUGUUGACAGGUUACUUGAGAUUAACAGCUGUGAAAAUGAAAGCUCAGAUUCUGUUCCUGCUCCUCCUUCUGGUGGUUGGACUUAAUGCGAUUCCUACUGUCGGCCACGGGGACUCUCCAGUUAUCCCAGAGGAUGUUGCCCUGCCAGAGCUGAUGGGGGGUGAUUUUGAUGUGGCAACUUCAGCAGUGCCAGUUAUUGAAAACCGUAAAUCACGCCCUCAACCCAAGAAAGGACAUAUAUGAGAAUGGUUUUGAAAAACUUUCUCUGAAUGUGGCUCCUACUGCUCCUGUCAAAAAUCACUGAAUAAAUAAAAUCAGCUGUUAAACAUGUGAUCUUGUGUUGAUUUAUAUUUGUUCUAGAGCUGUCAAACAAUUCCAAGAUUUUAAUCAGUUUGCUGUGGAUUCAAUUCGAUUAAUCACGGUAUUUUAAGAUGGAAGUGCUUCGGUGAAAAGAAAACUCUUUCUUGCAGAGUGUGAAUAAUAUUUUAUGUCGGUCAACUGUUCCAUCUUGUUUAGUUUUUUUCGUUUUUUUUUUUUUGUACUCAAAUUUCCCAUGGAGAGGGCCAACGUGCUGUUUCCCAUGGAGAGGGCCAAUGUACUGUUCAGAGUCUUCCAUUCCUAUUUGUACAUGUGCAAAUGUAAUUUGGUGAGACAGAAUCCACUUUCUAAAAGAGACAAGAAAUUCAGCAUUGCUUCUCUUUAAUCUUGUAUUAGUGUGAUUGUCUACAGGUGAUUUUUUUAUUCAAUAUGCUGCGUUGUGUCAUUCAAUUACUAUUAUUUCAUAAUUGUAAAAUUCUGAAAUUACCAGGUGGAUGAAAGCUCAAAGGAAAAAAAUAUUAAAAAUGUCUCAAUAAAAUAAAAAAUAAAGACA